AUUCCAGGAAUGCCAUGGCAACCUUUACAGCACAAUGCUAGAAUCAAAGAGUCAUAGAGCACCCCCCAUUGGAAGGGACCCUAAAGGAUCGUUGAGUCCAACUCCUGAAUCAAGUCCUACUCCUAAGAGAGCGUGUUCUGCCCAUUACAAGAUGGAGAUGACAUUGAAAUUGUCUCCUCCUCCAGCUAAACCUUAAUGAGCAGUCGAUACAAGCCCCAAAGUGGCUCUGAGCUCUAGCAACAGAGAGAUGCCAUAAAGCAAGGGUCUAAAUCCAGGCAAACAUGAAUUUUGCAACCAAA